CCCUCCAGCGCACGCCCUCCGCCACCCAGACCGCUGGCUCCCGGGGGCAGACCAAGCCGGCUGGGCGCACUCCUGGCCCCCCGGUUUUCAUUCCGUCCACAGUAUUCGUUUAGGUUUCGUACUGAAAAGCCAAACAGCAAGUGCGAUUUUUUUUUUUUUUUUGGUCCUAAAGCGAAGAGAAAACAGACGAUGACAGAGGCCGAUCUCUCAGAAGCACCAGAGCCCUCACUCCCUUACCUCCCUGUCGGUCUUGGUGUCUGUGCAGGAGUCACUGAAAUGAAAUCGAAGCGGGCCUUUCAGGCCCCUGUGAGCAAAGACACCUAAGGUGUUAUGAAACCGUAUCACCCACAGGCCUCUGUGUAGGGUCAGGAGUCGGCAGACCACAGGCUGAGUCUGAUUGGGCCUGGUUUUCUGAAUGGCCUUAAGCUAAGAACGGAUAUUACAUUUUUAAACAGUUCUAUAAAUACCUAUAUAAUUUCACUGGCUUUGCCUCUCGACCCCAGAAGCCAAAAAUAUCCAACACCUGGUCUUAAAGAAAAGUCCGCUGACGCCUGGCACGGGUGACAGAAAGCACACUCCGACUGCUCGUGCCCACGGUCCAGGGAAGAUGGACGACGCCAGGGUGCGGGGCAGCGUGACUGGCGCGCGGCCUGGGCACAAGUCACUUCCUCACAGCAGAGGGGUGGGAGGGGUGUGUUGGGGUGUGUUUCUUCUUCAGUUCAGGGAGCCGGAACCCCUGACUUUGUGCCACCGGAGGCCAACGCGCUGAACAGAAGCCAAACCUCCCCUCCGACGGAUCUUGGUGUGACCGCCGCGAAGGAAGUGAGCGAUUUCUCUCCAGCAGGCUACCCGACUACUUCACUGAUUUGAUACUAAAACUUAAUGUUGGAUCCACCUUGGGGUGUCGUAAAGUGAGGCUGUCCUCACCCACCGCUGUCCUCACCCUCUCCUGUGCUGCCUUCCCACCACAUGCGACACCCAACCGCCCUCCUGCUGGUCUCACUUCAGACCGGGGGUGGGGGGCGAGGGGAGGCGCCAUGCAGUAAUCCAGUUUGCUUUCAGUGAGGAGAAAGUGCAAAUGGCCAGCUCUUCAUCCCGUUUCCUUGUCUCAUUUAAAACGAUUGAUUGUACAAGUGGCCUGCGCCCCGGGCCCAUCUUCAGAGCUGUUCCCUGCGAGCACUGCCCGCACCUCCCGCACCUCCCGCACCUCCCACACCUCCCGCAGAGGCCUUCCCCGGCACUCACAGCCCCACACGCAGCAUUAGCCCUCUUUGGCCUGUGCGGACUGUUUUGUAAAUUGCAGUUUCCAGAUUGGCAUUAAGCUUUUUAUAUGAUGAAAUCUACCCUGUAAAAAGAACUUCAUAUUUUUAUUGAGAUUGCUGAGGCACUUGGCCUUGCUUUGUGAUUUCGGUGUCUAUUAAAGCAUGAUUUCUGUUUUGA